ensembl:lncRNA
CCUAAAAUGAACAAUUUUAAUCGUAUUUGCAAGAUAAUUUGCAAGGCUCCAGCUAGCAAGUUGGAUAAAGGAUUUAAGAUGUAUUUAUCGACAUACAUAUACGAUAGCAAAGUGAUUUUCAUUAAAUUACGUCUAGUGAAGUUGGUUCGGGGACAACGCUGAAGUCAUGAUCCAGACGAUGAAUCUCAAAUCGCAUACUACUUGGAGUCAUUACUACAAAUCCACACAAGUCAACACAGUGCAAUUUAGCAAAAUGGUACAAUUGCAUUAACUGGGGUCCAGCCAUUGGCAGAUUCUGUACCAACCUACAGGAAGCCACUACAGAAGAUGAAGUCAUUCAAGCUGAUCCCCUAGAUCCCAGGCUACUGCUGGGCUUCCACAGAGAGCCAAAGUGUCAUGGGAACCAGGGAUGGUGAUGCCAGAGAUCAACUUGUGGUCAUCAAUGGCCUCCAUUAUUCAGAGGGGCUAGUAUACACCACUUUGUUUCCUAAUAACAUAAUAGGACCAAUUAAAAAGUAGAAAUUCAGGUGAGCAUAAUUCCUAUCAAAUCAGUGACAUUAAGCACGAGGAAGGAAUUAAAAGUAUUCUGUGGGUUGUG